ACGGGGGGGACAAGCGUUGUUCGGAUUCACUGGGCGUAAAGGGCGCGUAGGCGGGCUUUCAAGUCGGGUGUGAAACCUGCCGGCUUAACCGGCAGCCUGCAUCCGAUACUGUAGGUCUUGAGUACGGAAGAGGAAAGCGGAAUUCCAGGUGUAGCGGUGAAAUGCGUAGAUAUUGGGAGGAACACCAGUGGCGAAGGCGGCUUACUGGGCUGAAACUGACACUGAGGCGCGAAAGCUAGGGGAGCAAACGG
rnacentral:rRNA from 1 species